rnacentral:rRNA from 1 species
AUGGAGUUGAGUUUGUCUCAUACGCUUCACCUUUUUAAUAUCUUUCGUGAGUAUGAUGGAAAGGAUAAUUGUGCUCAAGUGCUUGAAGAAGAAAUCUAUAGAAUGUUUGGUACUAAAUUUUUGAAUGAUGAGCAUGAUUGCAAUGUUGUUAGUAUGAAUUCCUUGAAUAUCCAUGAUGCUUAUGAUAUGCAAAGCCACAAGCUUGGGGAAGCUAUGUUUGAUGGAGAUGAUAUUUUUUGUCCCCCAAGCUUUGAUGAGCAAAUUUACUAUGAUGAAAGCAUGCCUCCUAUCUAUGAUGAUUAUUGUGAUGACACAUCUGCUUUAAAGAAUAAUGAUAACCAUGAAACGUGUCAUCUUGAUCUUAAUUUUCAAUCACAUGAUAGUUAUUUUGUUGAGUUUGCUCCUACUACUAUUCAUGAGAAGAAAUUUGCUUAUGUUGAGAGUAGUGAAUUUUCUAUGCUUGUAGAUCAUGAAAAGAAUGCUUUAGGUGCUGGUUAUAUUGUUGAAUUCAUUCAUGAUGCUACUUAA